rnacentral:rRNA from 1 species
UGGGGAAUAUUGGACAAUGGGCGAAAGCCUGAUCCAGCCAUGCCGCGUGUGUGAAGAAGGUCUUCGGAUUGUAAAGCACUUUAAGUUGGGAGGAAGGGCAGUAAGCGAAUACCUUGCUGUUUUGACGUUACCGACAGAAUAAGCACCGGCUAACUCUGUGCCAGCAGCCGCGGUAAUACAGAGGGUGCAAGCGUUAAUCGGAAUUACUGGGCGUAAAGCGCGCGUAGGUGGUUCGUUAAGUUGGAUGUGAAAGCCCCGGGCUCAACCUGGGAAAUGCAUCCAAAACUGGCGAGCUAGAGUAGGGCAGAGGGUGGUGGAAUUUCCUGUGUAGCGGUUAAAUGCGUAGAUAUAGGAAGGAACACCAGUGGCGAAGGCGACCACCUGGGCUCAUACUGACACUGAGGUGCGAAAGCGUGGGGAGCAAACAGG